rnacentral:lncRNA from 1 species
AUAAUUAGAUAAACAUUUUGAAAUAGUUUUACUGUUUGUGAUUUUCAAAAUUGUUGUAUCAUGGCAUAUAUUAGCACUAUGUAAUAAGAUUUGAAUUGCAUGAUGAAAAGUUGUAGGACUAGAAUGGAAAGAAUAUAGAUCGUUGAAAGGAAAGAAUUUCCAGAACACAAAGUUAUUGAAUGUCCAUUUAUUCGCAAAGGAAAACGUGGAGGAAAUUUGAAAAGUGUGUAAUACUCGUAGCUAAAAAUAACAAUAAUAUAUAUAUUUCUUUUGUAUAAGAACCGAUUGGACCACGUACUUCCCGAAAAUGUUCGAAUGGCCAGAAGACGUUUUAAUGCCGAUUUAAUAAAUGAGACGUUGGAGAUCUGCCAUUCGAAAUCUAUAAGGCAGAAAACAGUUUAGGAUAAAGAGGAGGUGGAAGAAAUAUUUUCAGGCAUUAGUAAUUUUUCUCUUUAGCAAGAUGAACAUUUGUACAUUGAAAAAAUGAACGUUCUACUUCGUAAAUAGAAUCAUAAAUCCGAACCAGUAUGCCAAGGUGCCGACGACGUCUUUAUAAAAUAUCUACCGUAAAGAGAAAAAAAAAGAUUUAGGCAAGAACUGUUGUCGCAUCCAUAUGUCAAAAUAUUAAGAUUGUAUCGGCCUAGAUAUUUCCUAGAUCGGGAUUAAAGAUAAGCUCUAUCCGACACGAAAUUCGCUGAAAAGAACCGGACAGAACUUAGAUCGAGAAUUCGAAAAGAAUGCUGUAUAUUGUUGGGAAUAGUCUCGAAUAAACUAGAUAUACAUUGAUAAAUUAUAUCAUUUAUUUCACAAGAGUCGAAACAUGGAAAACAAGUUGUUUUCAUCUUAUUUGUGAUAAGGAAUGGAGCAAAAAAUUUAUAUAACGUGCGCUAGUUAUUAACCCUUCAAAUAAAUAGCCAAAUAGGAUUAAGUAUCACGGUUUACUUUGGUAAAUUCUAGAAAUUUAGGUUGAAUAUGAAACACGUGAUUUGCGUACUAUUAAAUAAUACUAUUUUAAUUACUGAAUUUAUUAUAGUUUGCUACUUUCGUAAGUUUGCAGGAAUUGAAUUGGUUUGUUUUCGAACUUUCAUGAAGUCUUAUUUUUAAGCGCGAAUUAAUCAAGUAAGUAUUUUAAAUUGUCAUAAUAAUCAUAGACAUUUUAGAGAGGACUGUAUAUGCGUACAGUAAUAUCUGUAUACAAGUCAAUUUUUUCUCAGUUUCGUAUAACUUAGCUAGACAAAAUAAAUACUUUUCAAAGUUGAAUGGGGAAAAACGAAGCGUAUAUGUAGAACUUAAAUAUAUGUUUAAAUCUCUACGCAAGAAAUUCUUAGAAAUGCAUUUUAAAUACGUUUUGGAACAUCUCGAUGUUUCCUUCUUAUCAGUAAUUACUGAAUAAUUCGAAAUUAAAAAAAAAACUGAAUUAAGAAAAAUCAUUGACUGAAAGUUGCACCAUUAACUAAUUAAUUUAAAAAUGUUCCCUUUCUUGUUGUUUCGGAGUAUCUAAAAUUGGCUAGACAGUUAUCAAAAUGUCUGUUAUCUCAAUUAAAAAAAAGUGGACCGGACUGGGAAAAUCGUUUUCAAUCAGGCAGAAAUGAAUGUGUUUGUAAAUCUUUAAUAUGUCCGAAAUAGCUUUCGAAGCAAGGUUUCAGCUUUAUUUAUGUUCCCUUCGGCGAUCAUUUCUCAAGCUUUUCCGUUGUUGAGACUUAGGAGCAAUAAAGCCAUAUCGAGAAUAGUUUACGGAUGAUCGAAAACCGAACUAUUCCAGAUUGGCUAUCGUGGGAUAUAAAUUACGGUUAAAUUUGAUGUAAUUACGAGGCCGUUUUAACAGUAGAAAAGUCAGAUUUGUCUUGUCGAAUUCUAAAAUUACUAGAACCCUAUUGAAGGAGCCGGCUUUUAGACGAACCCCCCUCAUAGAAUUUUCUUUUUAGCUGCAGGCUGCUUUUGUAAUAGGAUUGUCUGGUUACAAAAAUAGUUUGGCGGUGCAAUACCUGACAUACGACUCCGAAACUACCUUACCGUUUUUAGUUUUUAAGGAAAAUACCCUUCUCUGUUUCGUUACUAGAAGAAGAAUCCACGAAUAAGACAAUACAUACAAAGGGAAAAAAUUAUUAAAAAAAUGCUAUUUAUGUGUAUAGAGAGAAUGUAAAGUCGGAAGUAUCUGUGUUUCCUGGAAGUGUUAAUAAGAUUGCGAAUGAAAAGACUUUUCUGUAAAGGAAAGGAUAAAUCAGGCACAUAAUGUAUCAUUGCCGCAAUUAUUGCUUGUAGACGUACACUGUAAAGGCACACUUCAUUAAACAGCUUUUCCGGUUGUUAAAACGCAUCGGGAAAAAAGUAAUAUGUUUUUUACCGAUACAAACAGGUUUUUUUCACGCCUGUAAGGAGAAGAAAUGCUCAAACGAAGAAAAUAAAAGAAAAAAGUUUAAAAUAACUAUAAAAUCAGCACGUUCUACACUCUUAACCAGUAGUGAAAGAAGUUUAAAUUCUGUAGAGAAUUUGAACAGUAAUACUUGUAAAUAUUAGCUUUAUAUCACUUUAGACUUAAACAACCAAAAAGAAAAAUUUAGAAUCAUAACUUGACUGAACAACAUAUAGCCUGCGGUCCGUUAUGAUUUUGAUAUCAUUUCCUAUUUUUCCCUUUGGUUAUUUAAGGUGAUAUAAAGCUAAUAUUUACAUGAAUUAAGUGGUAAAUGUACACAAGUCCAUCGAUUCGCAAGAUUUGGAUGUUCCUCCGUUUCCUGUGGCGGAUGUUUCUUAGUUCGAAAUUUUAUAAAUGCAUUGCAAUUCAGAUUUGAAAGACACUUUCUUUUUUAUCGCUCGAUUGAUUUUCUUUCCCCCUUUUUUGUUAAGAUUUCUUUCUCAUAGAGCUCCAGAGAAAUUUCUAACGUUAGCAUAAAAUUUAAUGGUUAAUAUUUUUGAAUAUGAAGAGACAUGUUAAAUAUUUAAACGUUUAUGCAUUCAAUUUUGUAUUUCGGAGGACGGUGUUGCUAACAAAUGGCGGUGUUGUCAUGGUAACAAAUUCCUACUGAGGCUGUUUUCUCGAUUAUUAGCAAUGUGGCUUUUCUGUCAUUUAUAGCGUGAUUCUUCUCCCUCUUUCAAUCUCUUCCGCUAAAGGUCGCGUUUUUUCCCUCUCCGCCGUUCGUUCGUUUUAUCUGCAACUGUGUCAAGGCUAUCAAUGUCAAGGUUAUUCAACUUUAAAACGAUCGCUCUCGGUUUUCUUAUUUUUCUGGAAAAUCUGGGUCGAUCCGUUGGUUUUUCCCCCCCUCCUCCUCCUCCUCCUUUCUUUCCUCCACUAGAGGAUUUCUAGAGAUUAAGCUGGAUGCUAGCAUUCUCGGAGGUUAUUGCACUCCAGUUUCUCUCUGUUUCGUGUAAUGGGAAGCCCUAUUAAUUUGCAUGAAACAAAAAAAAAGAGAGAGAGAAGAGGCAUUUUUAUUUUCUUUUUUGGAGUCGGUUUUGUAGUACCACGAAUAAGGCGAGAAGGUUAAUAAACUUUCUAUUUACAUCAAUGGAAGCUCUGUUCUCGGUUUGCAUGUGCUCUUUAAUAUUUAGUUACCGGAUAAAAUAAAGGAAAAAUUAAAUUGGCGACUACAGCUUUGCGGUGUUUCUUUAUUUCUUUUAUGGAUUAAGCGUUUGUUCGAGAUCGAAUACGGACUGCUAUAGUUUUACGUUUGUCUCUGGGAAGAAAAUUAGAUGCGAAUGUGAGAGAUGUGUCGGUUAGGUCUGACAGCUCUCAUUGGUUGCUCCGAAAUGCUCCUCCUACUGCGUAACUGAUAUGCUGUCAACAUGUUCAUGGUAGGCUAACUAUUAGCUAUUACUGAAAUGCCUUGUGGAUGGAUUGGGUUUGAGCUGGUUAACAAAUUGUUUAGUCUAAUUUUAUUUUAUUUGUUUUUUGCUGUACUCUUUGAACAAUUGCAUCCCGGAGGCAUUCUUGUUUUAUUUUUUAGUUGUUUUUUUUAACUGACAGUUUGUUUUACAGUUAAUUUUUUUUACCCUCCUUUAUAGUAUCGAGACUAGAUUCGGCACAGAAUUAUGUAAAUACUGACUCUUUCAGAUUGAAAGCUUUGCUGAAGGUAGCUUCAACGUUGUUAAUUUUCCAUUUUUUUUUUGUUUCGUGUUUUUAGGCUUUGGUAUAGGUGGUAUUGAUUUCUCUCUCUCUCUCUUUUUCUCGCUCCCCCUCCCAACUGGUGAGGCCAUCGCCGUUAUGUGGGAAAAUUUUAAUG